rnacentral:rRNA from 1 species
UACAGAGGGUGCAAGCGUUAAUCGGAAUUACUGGGCGUAAAGCGUGCGCAGGCGGUUUUGUAAGACAGGCGUGAAAUCCCCGGGCUCAACCUGGGAACUGCGUUUGUGACUGCAAGGCUAGAGUAUGGCAGAGGGGGGUGGAAUUCCACGUGUAGCAGUGAAAUGCGUAGAGAUGUGGAGGAACACCGAUGGCGAAGGCAGCCCCCUGGGCCAAUACUGACGCUCAUACACGAAAGCGUGGGUAGCAAACAGGAUUAGAUACCCCAGUAGU